UGUCCUGUGGUGUAACGGUAGCACAUCAGAUUCUGGCUCUGCUUGUUCGGGUUCAAAUCCUGACAGGACAA
rnacentral:tRNA from 1 species